AGAGUUGGCGCAGGCAGUUGCGGAUUCUGAUGAAUCUGAGGAAAGUCCGGGCUCCCGAAAGACCAGACUUGCUGGGUAACGCCCAGUGCGGGUGACCGUGAGGAUAGUGCCACAGAAAGAUACCGCCGAUGGAGGGAUGGUCCCGUUGGGCGAUCGCUCACAGGUAAGGGUGCAAAGGUGUGUUAAGAGCGCACCAGCAGGGUCGAGAGGCCCUGGCUCGGUAAACCCCGGUUGGGAGCAAGGUCAGAGGGACAAGGGUUGGUCUUUUGCCUGUCCCGCUUAAGAAGAACCGCUAGAGGCUUCUGGUAACAGAGGUCCCAGAUAGAUAACUGCCCCAUUCCUGGCAAUUGUCAUGAAUGGAACAGAACCCGGCUUAUGUCUGACUCUCUCC
rfam:Oscillatoria acuminata PCC 6304, complete genome.